rnacentral:rRNA from 1 species
UUGAAGACGACGACGUUGAUAGGCCGGGUGUGUAAGCGCAGCGAUGCGUUGAGCUAACCGGUACUAAUGAACCGUGAGGCUUAACCUUA